UAACUCAAUGGUAGAGUACUCGGCUUUUAACCGAUAAGUUCUGGGUUCGA
rnacentral:tRNA from 1 species